AGUGAACGCUGGCGGUAGGCCUAACACAUGCAAGUCGAACGGCAGCACAGUAAGAGCUUGCUCUUACGGGUGGCGAGUGGCGGACGGGUGAGGAAUACAUCGGAAUCUACUUUUUCGUGGGGGAUAACGUAGGGAAACUUACGCUAAUACCGCAUACGACCUACGGGUGAAAGCAGGGGAUCUUCGGACCUUGCGCGAUUGAAUGAGCCGAUGUCGGAUUAGCUAGUUGGCGGGGUAAAGGCCCACCAAGGCGACGAUCCGUAGCUGGUCUGAGAGGAUGAUCAGCCACACUGGAACUGAGACACGGUCCAGACCCCUACGGGAGGCAGCAGUGGGGAAUAUUGGACAAUGGGCGCAAGCCUGAUCCAGCCAUACCGCGUGGGUGAAGAAGACCUUCGGGUUGUAAAGCCCUUUUGUUGGGAAAGAAAAGCAGCAGGUUAAUACCCCGCUGUUCUGACGGUACCCAAAGAAUAAGCACCGGCUAACUUCGUG
rnacentral:rRNA from 1 species